UCCGAUGUGGUGUAGUGGCUAACAUUGCUGUCUUUCAUUCAACUCUUUGAUGGCUUGUCACAGCAGCCCGGGGUUCGAUUCCCCGCAUCGGAA